rnacentral:rRNA from 1 species
AGUGAACGCUGGCGGUAGGCCUAACACAUGCAAGUCGAACGGCAGCACAGUAAGAGCUUGCUCUUACGGGUGGCGAGUGGCGGACGGGUGAGGAAUACAUCGGAAUCUACUUUUUCGUGGGGGAUAACGUAGGGAAACUUACGCUAAUACCGCAUACGACCUACGGGUGAAAGCAGCGGAUCUUCGGACCUUGCGCGAUUGAAUGAGCCGAUGUCGGAUUAGCUAGUUGGCGGGGUAAAGGCCCACCAAGGCGACGAUCCGUAGCUGGUCUGAGAGGAUGAUCAGCCACACUGGAACUGAGACACGGUCCAGACUCCUACGGGAGGCAGCAGUGGGGAAUAUUGGAGAAUGGGCGCAAGACUGAUCCAGCCAUACCGCGUGGGUGAAGAAGGCCUUCGGGUUGUAAAGCCCUUUUGUUGGGAAAGAAAAGCAGCAGGUUAAUACCCCGCUGUUCUGACGGUACCAAAAGAAUAAGCACCGGCUAACUUCGUG